CUACGGGAUGCAGCAGUGGGGAAUAUUGGACAAUGGGGGAAACCCUGAUCCAGCAAUGCCGCGUGUGUGAAGAAGGCCUGCGGGUUGUAAAGCACUUUCGGUUGGGAGGACUGCUUCUAGCACUAAUAUUGUUGGAAGUUGACGUUACCUUCAGAAGAAGCACCGGCUAACUCCGUGCCAGCAGCGCGCGGUAAUACGGAGGGUGCAGGCGUUAAUCGGAAUUACUGGGCGUAAAGCGCGCGUAGGCGGCUAGAUCAGUCGGGUGUGAAGGCCCCGGGCUUAGCCUGGGAACUGCAUCCGAUACUGUCUAGCUUGAGUACAGGAGAGGAGAGUGGAAUUCCACAUGUAGCGGUGAAAUGCGUAGAUAUGUGGAGGAACACCAAUGGCGAAGGCAGCUCUCUGGCCUGAUACUGACGCUGAGGUGCGAAAGCGUGGGGAGCAAACAGGAUUAGAUACCCUUGUAGUC
rnacentral:rRNA from 1 species